rnacentral:lncRNA from 1 species
UUUGGAUUCUAAUGAAAACCAGUGAUUAGAAUUCAGCCUUCGGGAGGUGUUUUGAAGGGCAAAUGUAAAUAACAGUUUGUAUUCCUAUUUCUUUUGGCAAAGGCAGAUUUAUUUCUAUAGAAUUUUACCUACUACAGUGAUCUCUGUAAAAUGAAAUGGGAACUGGCAGAGAAGCCAGUAAAUCACCCAAGCUUUCCCACAAGCUCUAGUCUUUAAAGUACUUGGGACUUGGGGUCCCUUUUUGUCAUUCCAGAUAGAUUUUCCUUCCAGAAAUUUCUAAUUUAUUAUCCCAGCAAUAAAUUCUGGCUUUUCCCAGAUGCACUGUCAUUUCAAUGUUGGCUUUCAUUUUUCCCAGCUUCUUUCAAAGUUCAGAAUCAAGUGCAAACUUUAAGCCAGUUGGCUUUGAUUGCUCUGUAUGGCCAGCAAAGAAAAUGGCUCAGCUCAAACCUUUCUCAUUAUUUUUAAAUGUAAUUCUUAAAUAAUUUUUAAUGAGUUAAUUAAACUCAUUAAAAUUUUUUUUGAAAAUGAAUUCAUGUAGAUUGAAAUACUGAAAUCUGACAAAGACAAAUUCAAGAUUUCAUCCAGGUCGUGAAAUAGGCAUUUAUACAGAGGGUCAAGUUUAAAGAACUGGGAAGGUCCAACAUUGGUCACUGUAUCAGUUACCUCUUGCCACCAUAAUGCUAUAUAACAAACUAUCCAUAUGUGAGUGAGCUCUAACAAUAGGUAUUUAUUUUUUUCUCUUAUGUCUGCAAGUCAUCUGGGGCCACCCAAUUUAAGCUCAGCAGGGCUCAGCAGUACUUCACUACAGCUCACUGCUGGGUACAAAUGUGCUCCAUUAAUUUUUCAUUUUUCUGGAACUACUGAAUUACCUUUGGGGGCCCUUCCCAUGAAAGCAGCACAGAGGGUAGAAGAGCAAGCCAAACUAUCAAAGAACAUUUAAAGUCCCUACUCCUGUCCAGUAUUGCUGAGUAAUAUUCCUUUGGCCAGAGCAAGACCCAUGGAAAAAGAGAAGGGAAAAUAAGGAGGAAUGGGAAUCCACAUGAUGGGUGGGUACAUGAGUGUGUGUGUGUGUGUGUGUGUGUGUUUUGGGGGGGUGUGUGGAUCAUUUCAAGAUACUAUAGCUAUUAAAUAGGGGCAGUCAGCCAGUAGGAUUAUAACACUGGAGGUCAGAAGUUUCUGUUUCCCUCAGAAACUCAGUGAAUCUAGCUUUUCCCCAUUUCUGGCCACAUAUCUCCUUUUUUUAAAAAAUUAUUUAUUCAUUUGAGAGAAAGAGAGAGAGAGCAAGAGCACUAGUGGGGUUAGGGGUAAGAGGAGAGGGAGAAGCAGACUCUCCACUGAUCAGGGAGCCCAAUAUGG